AAACAUCAAAAGCUCAGCAGGAGGCAGUAUGAAGGACUGGUUGAAGAUCACCAGAUCCUACAAGUCUUUUUGCUGUUCCUUUGGUCAGGAUAUGACAGUCGACUCCUUGGGUAAUCCUUGCCAGGAAGCGUCCCGCCUUCCUGAAAAUCACUCAUGUGCCUGACUGCCCUCUGCUCCUCCCCACAGAUAAGACUGGAAACAUGCCAAGCACGCAGCACCACCUCAUCUCAUCUCCUAAUCACAGACUGUCAGAUAUAUAGCUAUGUCUUCUUUAUGUAACCCCAAACAACACAGUCACUGGAUUUUGUCAACUUCAUCUUGGGGUGACAUUUUCCAAAAGUCGCCCAGUUAACCAAUCAUCUCCUCUUCCAGGCCUUCUGGGUUCUUCUUGCAAAUAACAUAGUGUGAUUAUUCUUGUGGUUACACUGAACUCUUGAAAAACUGCUUUUCACGUC